UACGUAGGGAGCAAGCGUUGUCCGGAAUCAUUGGGCGUAAAGCGCGCGUAGGUGGCCAUGUAAGUCCGCUGUGAAAGUCAAAGGCUCAACCUUUGAAAGCCGGUGGAUACUGCAUGGCUAGAGUACGGAAGAGGCGAGUGGAAUUCCUGGUGUAGCGGUGGAAUGCGCAGAUAUCAGGAGGAACACCAAUAGCGAAGGCAGCUCGCUGGGACGUACUGACACUA
rnacentral:rRNA from 1 species